GACGAACGCUGGCGGCGUGCUUAUCACAUGCAAGUCGAACGGAAAGGCCCUGCUUUUGUGGGGUGCUCGAGUGGCGAACGGGUGAGUAACACGUGAGUAACCUGCCCUUGACUUUGGGAUAACUUCAGGAAACUGGGGCUAAUACCGGAUAGGAGCUCCUGCUGCAUGGUGGGGGUUGGAAAGUUUCGGCGGUUGGGGAUGGACUCGCGGCUUAUCAGCUUGUUGGUGGGGUAGUGGCUUACCAAGGCUUUGACGGGUAGCCGGCCUGAGAGGGUGACCGGCCACAUUGGGACUGAGAUACGGCCCAGACUCCUACGGGAGGCAGCAGUGGGGAAUAUUGCACAAUGGGCGGAAGCCUGAUGCAGCAACGCCGCGUGCGGGAUGACGGCCUUCGGGUUGUAAACCGCUUUCGCCUGUGACGAAGCGUGAGUGACGGUAAUGAGUAAAGAAGCACCGGCUAACUACGUG
rnacentral:rRNA from 1 species